AUUGAACGCUGGCGGAAUGCUUUACACAUGCAAGUCGAACGGCAGCACGGGGGCAACCCUGGUGGCGAGUGGCGAACGGGUGAGUAAUACAUCGGAACGUGCCCGGUCGUGGGGGAUAACGUAGCGAAGGGUACGCUAAUACCGCAUACGAUCUGAGGAUGAAAGCGGGGGACCUUCGGUCCUCGCGCGAUCGGCGCGGCCGAUGUCAGAUUAGGUAGUUGGUUGGGUAAAGGCCUACCAAGCCGACGAUCUGUAGCUGGUCUGAGAGGACGACCAGCCACACUGGGACUGAGACACGGCCCAGACUCCUACGGGAGGCAGCAGUGGGGAAUUUUGGACAAUGGGCGCAAGCCUGAUCCAGCCAUUCCGCGUGCAGGACGAAGGCCUUCGGGUUGUAAACUGCUUUUGUAUGGAACGAAAAGGCUCUGGCUAAUACCUGGGGCUCAUGACGGUACCGUAAGAAUAAGCACCGGCUAACUACGUG
rnacentral:rRNA from 1 species